rnacentral:rRNA from 1 species
GACGAACGCUGGCGGCGUGCUUAACACAUGCAAGUCGAACGAUGAACCAGGGCUUGCCCUGGGGAUUAGUGGCGAACGGUGAGUAACACGUGGGCAACCUGCCCCAGACACCGGGAUAACCUCUCGAAAGAGUGGCUAAUACCGGAUAUGACCACUUCGGGCAUCCGACGGUGGUGGAAAGGAUUCUGGUCUGGGAUGGGCCCGCGGCCUAUCAGCUAGUUGGUGGGGUAAUGGCCUACCAAGGCGACGACGGGUAGCCGGCCUGAGAGGGCGACCGGCCACACUGGGACUGAGACACGGCCCAGACUCCUACGGGAGGCAGCAGUGGGGAAUAUUGCGCAAUGGGCGAAAGCCUGACGCAGCGACGCCGCGUGAGGGACGAAGGGUCUUCGGAUUGUAAACCUCUUUCAGCAGGGACGAAGCGAAAGUGACUGUACCUGCAGAAGAAGCACCGGCUAACUACGUGCCAGCAGCCGCGGUAAU